UUUAACUAAAACGCAUUUAAAGAUUUUUUUCCCCCUUUGCUCCGGUUUUACGACAGUUACCGUUAUAUCUCAACCAUUUGGCUUUUUGAAUAAAACAACCGAAUAGACGAAGAGGAUUCCAUAGAGUGGUCUUGUGAUAUUGGAGACAUAUUCUUGAAAGUUCAGAAUUCCAAAAUGGUGCUGGACUAAGAUGGCUUUCUUUCCACUUCAGGUGAGUGUUCCGUCAAGCUUUUCCCUUUGGGAGGCCUGUAGGAAUCCUUAUGAUAUAAAGAAAGUACAUUUCUUACUACUAAAAGGAAUAUUGUAUAUAUAUAGGCAGUAAGUCAAUAGCAGGUUCUACACACUAUUACUGGUCACAUCAGGAUUAGACUCUGUAAAUGUAUUUGAGAGUUGGCAGUUGAAGCAGUUACAAUAAUUGUACACUGUUCAAGAAAGCAUGUCACUUCAUAUAGUAUUAUUAUGAUUAUUAUUACUAUUAUUAAUAUUAGUACUGGCAUUUUUAAAGCGUCACUAUAUUCUACAAUGACAUAGACAAUACAGUAGAGACAAACCAAUAUGUAAGGAAGAGCACCUUGCUGAGAUAUGGAGUUUACAGUCUUUUAAUACAACAUGUUAAGUAAAUGGCUUGUGAUCUUAUAAUCUAAAGGUUAUGAAGGGGACUUGAAACAAGAGGGAGCAAGGGGGAUGUGAAGUGUAUGGACAGGGAGCCUCAUGGUAUAUGCACAGACUGCUAAGAUGUGACGUGAUUGAGAAGAUAAAUAGUGAAGAUUCCAAACACCAACAAAGGAAGGUUUUGAAGGUAACACAAACCAGUGUAAGUGCUUAGUGAAAACAAUGGCAUAUAUUGCUUAGAGUGGAUUGUGAUGUGAGGCCUCUAGAUGGGAUAGAAUGAGGAGAAAUCAUUUAUGUGAAGGUAUGUAAUGUUGGCAGGCUAAGAAACAAAGAAGGGGGGAGGGAGGAAUAAACAUGUGCUGUUUUAAACUUAAAAAGUUAGCCAAAUAGAUUCUCCAAAAUUCAAUAAACACAGGUACUGUAAAUACUAACAGACUCCAUGUACAGAAUACAACAAAAAAUGCAUGUGCAUAAAAUUACAAUAAAAUGACAUUUUAAAAAGUAACAAUGGAGACAAUAGCUACAGAGUAAGACACAGAGUAAUGGCAUUUUUGUAUCUCCAAAACUACCUUCAGUAUCCUUAGAGCUUGCUGAAUAUUGCUGGGAAAAUAGCACAUAUUGCUUGAAGUGGAUUGCGAUACAGUCAAUGUACCAUAUUUUUUAUUCUCCUCUGUCCUUCCACACAAGCAAACCAAGGCUAUUUUCUAGCAAACACCUACUACAUUGCAAGAUCACCAAAUCUCUGAGCUUUGUCUGUGAAUGCAAUCCUUCAGACCAUGGUGGAUUAACCUGUCUUCUUGGCAGCUUAAGAGAAUAGCAUCCCUAGCGAUUCUUUGGCAUUUUACCUGAGUGCAGAAAUACAAUACAAUAGUAACUGUCAUAUUCCAAUGCCAUGAGCAUUUUAUAAGCUAUUUGACUCCUGUUGUUAAUGUCUUACAUUAUCUUAGGUAAUGACUUUCCUGAAGACUAUAAGCCUCUUUUCUCAUCUAUCAACUUUAAGCAUCAUCAUCAUCUCACCAGUCCUGUUUGGCUAAGAUGGGUGCAUGCGCUGCAGUUGCCGUGAAUGCACCAAUCAAGAGGGGUUAAAGGUACACAGACCUGCACAUCUGAAGACACAUUUUGGAAGGUGGCAACAAGCUUUGCCAAUGCAGCCAAAGAUCCUCGCACUGGUCCUGGUUGUUGUUGUUGUUGUUGUGCAGUAGCAAGAUGACAUAUGAGCUACAAUUCUCAAAAAGCAUUUCUGAAACCUUGAAAACUCAGUGUAGAGGAAAGGUUCAGCAGUGCAAUAUACAGUGAAGUGAGCACCAUUUUUAAUUUUCAUUUGAGUAAGUUAUUGUUUUUACAGAUAUCUUAAUACAUUGACUAUGUCGUCCAUGAAAAAUAAUAGGCCAUCGCACAACAUGGUACGUUUCUCGUUUUGUUUCAGUGAGUCUAAUUAUUUAUCCUUUGUUUACAUGUUAUUUUUGCAUAAUUUUUAAAGCACCCUGGAUAAGAGCAUUAUGUAUGAACUAUUUAAAUAAAUAAAAUACAGUUAAAUCAAAA